AGGGGAGUGAAAAAGAACCUGAAACCGUGUACGUACAAGCAGUGGGAGCCUCUUUAUGGGGUGACUGCGUACCUUUUGUAUAAUGGGUCAGCGACUUAUAUUCUGUAGCAAGGUUAACCGAAUAGGGGAGCCGAAGGGAAACCGAGUCUUAACUGGGCGUUAAGUUGCAGGGUAUAGACCCGAAACCCGGUGAUCUAGCCAUGGGCAGGUUGAAGGUUGGGUAACACUAACUGGAGGACCGAACCGACUAAUGUUGAAAAAUUAGCGGAUGACUUGUGGCUGGGGGUGAAAGGCCAAUCAAACCGGGAGAUAGCUGGUUCUCCCCGAAAGCUAUUUAGGUAGCGCCUCGUGAAUUCAUCUCCGGGGGUAGAGCACUGUUUCGGCAAGGGGGUCAUCCCGACUUACCAACCCGAUGCAAACUGCGAAUACCGGAGAAUGUUAUCACGGGAGACACACGGCGGGUGCUAACGUCCGUCGUGAAGAGGGAAACAACCCAGACCGCCAGCUAAGGUCCCAAAGUCAUGGUUAAGUGGGAAACGAUGUGGGAAGGCCCAGACAGCCAGGAUGUUGGCUUAGAAGCAGCCAUCAUUUAAAGAAAGCGUAAUAGCUCACUGGUCGAGUCGGCCUGCGCGGAAGAUGUAACGGGGCUAAACCAUGCACCGAAGCUGCGGCAGCGACGCUUAUGCGUUGUUGGGUAGGGGAGCGUUCUGUAAGCCUGCGAAGGUGUACUGUGAGGUAUGCUGGAGGUAUCAGAAGUGCGAAUGCUGACAUAAGUAACGAUAAAGCGGGUGAAAAGCCCGCUCGCCGGAAGACCAAGGGUUCCUGUCCAACGUUAAUCGGGGCAGGGUGAGUCGACCCCUAAGGCGAGGCCGAAAGGCGUAGUCGAUGGGAAACAGGUUAAUAUUCCUGUACUUGGUGUUACUGCGAAGGGGGGACGGAGAAGGCUAUGUUGGCCGGGCGACGGUUGUCCCGGUUUAAGCGUGUAGGCUGGUUU
rnacentral:rRNA from 1 species